GGAGGGGUGUCCGAGAGGUUGAAGGAACAGGUCUCGAAAACCUGCAUGCCUGCAAAGGCAUCGAGGGUUCGAAUCCCGCCCCCUCCG
rnacentral:tRNA from 1 species